rnacentral:rRNA from 1 species
CGCNAGGGGGAGCGAAUCUCACAAAUUUCACCUCAGUUCGGAUUGCAGUCUGCAACUCGACUGCAUGAAGCUGGAAUCGCUAGUAAUCGCAGAUCAGCACGCUGCGGUGAAUACGUUCCCGGGUCUUG